rnacentral:pre_miRNA from 1 species
AGGAGGAAAAACGAGUCGGUCGGCAUGGCACUGAUGCGAACGCUUCGUUUUUAUCCUUG